AUAGUCGUUUGAGGAAGAUAACGACAGUUGAAACGGUUUCUAAUGAGUAUCCAAGCAACUCAAAAUGGAGGGCGGAUCAGCGUUAGAAUUUUGCAGGUAACCAGCAGUGGACAUAACAGUCAAAUGCAUAUGGACUCCAGGGUCCCAUCAAACUCUCCAAAAAUCAUUGGAAAGUGAAUUUGGCCACCUGCAAGGUGAUCAAAAUAAGUAUUAAAAAUGUAGUCAGAAGAUUACCUUUUUUUUUUUUUUUUUUUUAAAUCUUUUAUCUUUUUUUUAUCUUUUGUCUUACAUCUGUCAUCUCUUUCACCUCUGUCUCACAGGUGUCAAACUCAAGGCCCAGGGGCCAAAUCUGGCCCGUGGAACAAUGGCCCACAAGAUCAUAUCAUAUUUGUGUUAUUACUGGCCCACCAGUAUGAAGUCUGCAGAUUUCCUCCAGUAUAGUAAUGUGAACUUUAGCACCAUUAUUGAAAAUGUCCUUAUUAAACCACGAAAAUCUGGGAAAGUAAAGAGUAACCAAGAUUUGAGAAAUAGUCAAGAAUGUGG